rnacentral:rRNA from 1 species
AUUGAACGCUGGCGGCAUGCUUUACACAUGCAAGUCGAACGGUAACAGGGGAGCUUGCUCCCGCUGACGAGUGGCGAACGGGUGAGUAAUGCAUCGGAACGUGCCGAAUAGUGGGGGAUAACGCACCGAAAGGUGUGCUAAUACCGCAUACGCCCGGAGGGGGAAAGUGGGGGACCGCAAGGCCUCACGCUAAUCGAGCGGCCGAUGUCGGAUUAGCUAGUUGGUGGGGUAAAGGCUCACCAAGGGGACGAUCCGUAGCGGGUCUGAGAGGAUGAUCCGCCACACUGGGACUGAGACACGGCCCAGACUCCUACGGGAGGCAGCAGUGGGGAAUUUUGGACAAUGGGGGAAACCCUGAUCCAGCCAUGCCGCGUGUCUGAAGAAGGCCUUCGGGUUGUAAAGGACUUUUGUCCGGGAGGAAACCCUGAUCGUUAAUAGCGGUCGGGACUGACAGUACCGGAAGAAUAAGCACCGGCUAACUACGUGCCAGCCGCCGCGGUAACAC